UACAGAGGGUGCGAGCGUUAAUCGGAUUUACUGGGCGUAAAGCGUGCGUAGGCGGCUUUUUAAGUCGGAUGUGAAAUCCCUGAGCUUAACUUAGGAAUUGCAUUCGAUACUGGGAAGCUAGAGUAUGGGAGAGGAUGGUAGAAUUCCAGGUGUAGCGGUGAAAUGCGUAGAGAUCUGGAGGAAUACCGAUGGCGAAGGCAGCCAUCUGGCCUAAUACUGACGCUGAGGUACGAAAGCAUGGGGAGCAAACAGGAUUAGAU
rnacentral:rRNA from 1 species